UGCUUCCUAGCAUCCUAGAAGGGCC
rnacentral:piRNA from 1 species